UUAUAUAACUUUAUUAUCAGUGAAUUAUUUUUAACCUACAUUGAACCGUUAUCAGAGUGAACUAUGCUGAGCUCUUCGGAUUAACGCUACAUCACUAAAUGUAAAACCUAGUUUUGACUUAACAUUGCUUCUAAUUGGUGCAGAGAAUGAUGCAGAGUUAUUUUUUUUCAGCCGUAUAUGAGCUCUUUCAGAGUGCAGUGUCUACAACUAUCGUCCAAGUGUAAUGGAAAUGAAUCCAGCGGCAGGAAGUCCAGUAUCCACUCUCAGGCACCUGCCGCAAUUUAAAUCAAAAAGAGUACUUGCAAGAAAAUGCAUGGAUAUAGAAAAGACAGCAGUACAUGUAGCCAUUGGCCCUGUCUUACUAACAUAAAAGGGGAUUAAAACUCUACCUGCUACCUCCAGUACCUUAGGUGACCCUGGAAUCACAGGAAGAAAUGGGGGAAAAAAAGAUGAAUAUCAGACACAAGUGGAGCCAGAAUAAGACUUUCUGAUUGAUAAAUCCUGUGCACACUCAAGAUAUCAGUCACAUCUGCAAUGCUGGACAACUCUUUCUUUUAGAUGAGUUUUCUAUCAGGACCCUUCUGUCCUUCACUGUCGUGGAAAUGGACCUGCUUCUGGACAGAAUCCCCCAAGUUUCACGCAUCACUCUGCACUGAGGUUGAGAAGAGUCCAGCAGAGGGACAAGCAGAGCAGCAGGUCUCCAGCGGGAAAGAUGGCCAUGAGUGGCGUCCCUUCCGUAGUCCCCGUCCGCGUUUCAUUUCCAAUGUGCUUCACGUUUUUCACCAAUGUUUCCAUUGACCUUAUCAAUAAUAAACAUAUAAAGAAUCAUAGAAAAGCAUUUUUAAAAAAAACACCUGGCCAACUCCUCAGUCACUCUUGACUGGAAUGAACGGAUAAGCCUUAUUUGUCACUAGAGUAGGAAUACCCUGCUCUGGAAAGAUUUAUCUUCCACAGCGCCAAAAAUGUGUUUUUAUAUGCUCUUAACAACAGUAACAAAUAAACACAUUUUAAAGAA